AUGUGGAAUGUGGUUUCCGUUGGGUGCUGGUGGAUCCCACAGGUGGUGUGGCAUGGAAGAAGGCCAGAGGCUGCGAUGGAUCAUCUUUGUCUUGGGAGAUUCCUGGAGAUGGUGGGGAGCCCCUGGGCACGUGCAGCACAUGUGGUGUGGGCUUCUUCAGGUGCUGGUGGAUCCCUCAGGAUGCUUUUCAAGGUUUUUCUGUGAGUUCUGUUAAAGAGUCUGAAAACGGAGCGUAGAAGACAAGCUUCGAUUUCCAGGAUGGUUGUGUUUUCCAGGGAGGCGAAGGUAAACCAUUGGCGCAGCCCUGCCUCCCACAGUUCAUCGUGGAACCAGCACAGAUUUUCAUAUGAAAGUUAUAUUUUUUUUUAACCUCAAAAAGUGACAGAAUGGAGUGUAUCAUGAAAAAGUCUGACAUCAAAACCUCAAAAUGUGAUAUUGAUUGGGUGAGAUAGAAUUCCAUGGAAUUUCAUUGCCAAACCAGUGAAGUGCUAAUUUUGACAUUUGUACCAGCUAACGUAGCUGUGAAGAAACACACCAAUACGCUUCUAAGGACAACAUAGACCAAGAUCUAGGUUUCAUAUGGAUGAAUUUAUUCUUCCCUUCGAGGCAAGACAAGAAGGAAAGAAAGUAUUGGGAAUAAUGCUGCCCUCCCAUCCUCAAGGGCCAGUGGGAACUCUAAUAUUGAUUGGGUGAGAUACAAUUCCAUGGAGUUUUACUGCUGAACCAGUGAGGGGCUAAUUUUGUCAUUUGUACCAGUUAACUAAUUUGGGAGGAAACAGAACAACACACUCCUGAGAUUGGUUGUCACGGAAUUCCAUGGAAUUUAACUGCUGAACCAAUGAUGCGCUGAUUUUGUCAUUUGUACCAUCUAACUCAUCUGGGAGGCAACAAAACAAUAUUCUCCUGAGGUGUGACAUGAAGGAAAGUAAUGGAAAUAAUUCUGCCCUCCCAUUCUCAAGGGCCAGGGGGAAUUCUAAUAUUGAACGGAAGUGAUUUUGGAAUUGCAUGGAAUUCUCACUGCCAUCCCAAAGAAAUGCUCAUCUUGUCACUCUUACCUGUUCCAUUCCCCGGGACAGAACAAAAGGAUUCACUCCAAAGAUUGGCAUGAACCAAGAACUGGGUUUCAUAUAAAAUAUUUUAUUCUGUCCUCUUGAGAUGUGACAUGAAGAAAAGUAUUGAGAAUACUUCUAUCACCUCAUCUUCAAGAAUCCAUAGGAAUUCUCCCACGAAUUUUUGUGCUUUCUCAGUCUUGCUGAUGAUCUUUCUAUGGGCAUGAAGCGUGGAGAGUGCCAGAGAGGCUGAUCCUCAGCAGUGUGGCAGAGGAAAUUUGGGUGCAACCAAGGGGUAUGCGGUGCCCAAAUGCCACUGGGUCCUCAGCAGUACCACCUGGUCAACAAAUACAAGGCACCUGGCCUCACAUGAAACUUUAUUCCUUUCCCUUGAGAUGUGACAUGAAAGAAAAUAUCAGAAAUGAUUUUUCCAUCCCAUCCUCAGGGACCAGUGGGAAUGAAUUUUACCAUCCCACCCUCAAGGGCCAGAUUGGAAGUGAUAUUGGUGGAAGACAACAUUUUGCCGCUUGGAAUUCUCACCUCCACACCAAAGAAGUACUGUUUUUGUCAUUUGCACGAGCUUCUUUCUCCAGGAAAGAUCAAAAUGAUGCACUGCAAGGUGUGGUUGGUCCAGAUAGCUGCCUUAUCCAACUGCCUCCUUUGGACCACUUCAUCAUGGGACAGCUUGAUGCAAUCUACUUGACAAGCCCCUGGAACCCCACACCCCUCAUGGAGCCAGUGUCCACCUCCUAGUCACAGUGUGACCCCAGGGAACUCAUGCCUGCUUGCUUUAAACCCACCACUUAAAAGUCUCCACAGAAAACCUGUUUGAAUAGUACCCUUGACCCAAUAAGGGCAUUGGCCCAUGGGUGUCUCUCUCUCUCUCUCCCCCUCUCUCUCUCUCGC
ensembl:lncRNA